AUGAGUGACGAGCUAACGUCCCCAACUGCCAUUUUCCAUGUAGCACAGAACACAAUUGGAAGACCACGAAAUUAUGGUCCGUCAAAGCAGGAGAUCGAACGUCUUCGGAUUGAGGAAGCGAUCAAUCGAGAAAAAACAGUACAAAAAGAAAUCGAAGCACUCGAAGUCCAAAAAAUAGAAGAAGCAAAUUCCAGAAGAUUCAAAAUUGCCGAAUGGAAUAAAAAACUAGACGACUUGAGGACAGAGGAAAGGGAAUUAAUUCAAACACGUUCCAUCCCACUGAGAAAUUAUUUAAUGAGUCACGUGAUGCCCACUUUAACUGAAGCACUCAUAAACUGUUGCAAAUUAAGGCCAGAUGACCCCAUUGACUAUUUGGUAUUCAUAUUGCUCUAUAAAAUCCAGGCUGAGUAUUUGCUGGCCAAAAACGACCAAGUUGACUGAUAAAUACUAAUACUUACUAACUAACUUAA